CUUUGGACAGGUUUUGAUAAAGCUCCCCCAUUUUGUUUUCCAAUGGGGCCCAGUUCGUGUUGGAACAGUAUACCAAGGGUUUUUUUUUGUUGUUUUUUUUUAGUUUUUUUUAAACUUGUUUGUCCAAUCCUGAAUUUUUUUUCUAGGUUACUUUAUCUUCAAGUAUUGCUUUGGUUACAGAACCCAUAUUUUUGAUGAGGUCAUUGUGAACUAUGACAUUUAGACAAACCUCCGAGAACACAAUCAUUACUUGCACAUUACUUUGUCAGCCGACCAGGAGGAGCAGCCCGAGAUGGGAGCCGAGUGACCAGUAUCUAUACGGGGGCUAUUACAUUUCAUGGCAUAGCAUUGAUCAGUGAUCUUGGUGACAAUUGGAUGGCAAAGGCAAUUACCUCGCAGAAGUACCAAUCAAGCCCACCUACCCCCGACCUACCAGUCCAACCCACCAGCACAGGCUAUAGUUAGCGGCCCCUGGCUUUUGAAAUCAGCUGGGGGCCGCCUGGUACAGAAUGGGAUAGAGUCAGAAUCUCUCUCCAAACAUCUACCCCAGGACGUAACCGUAGCCCAGGGUGGGGAAAGGGUUAAUAACCGUGCAACAAACAACUUGUAUUUAACUUUUUUGUGGCAUGCUUCACUAGUUUUCCCCUCUGCAGGCUCUCUCUAAUCUUCAGCAUUCAGUUGUCCUUGUAGUGGGUGGAGACUAGCUGGUAUGAUGUCUUCCAUACAGGACAAGCACACAGCUUUCAGAAGCUCCUCUCUGUCUCUCUCUACAGCUCAUUUUCUUCCUACCCUCUCCAUAGAUUUCUUUGGUCAGUCUGUAGCCUGAUACCACUGUAAACUUAAAAAAAAAAAAAAAAAUGAUGGGUAUUACUUCUUUGGGAGUGGGGUGCCAAUAAGUGGAGGUAUCCUUCUCAAAUAAAAAAAAGAAAAA